AUGGUCCUACCAGAUAUGUCAUCAAGAUUUGUUGAAUCUGCAUUGCAGUCAGAAUUUUGCAACAUUCUAACCUCCAAUGCUGGAAUGGAGCAGCCAGACUAUUUCAAAUUUCAUUGCCAAUUAACUAAGGUACUGUUGACUGGACACAUUUAUAUGUGUUUUCGGUGUCAUGACACCAUCUUCCGUAGAAUGAACAGAGCCCAUGUGACUGCUUUACAGCUUAUUUGCACUAUCCACAUUUUUCUAACAAUUUGGGUUAUUGAGGAUCGAAGGCUCAACCAUAUUGUAGAAAUAGCUACUUAUUCACAACCUGAGACUUCAUGUUGCUUUUGUCAGGCUGAUGACCUUCCAGUUCGAGGGGCAGAGUUGUGUACCAAACAACUAUUAGUAUUUUCCUUUCCUUGGAAACAUUUUAACAUUUCGACUACUUCUAUUAUCUGA
rnacentral:rRNA from 1 species